CUACAUUGAACUUCAUAUUCUGACCCAUGCAGGCAAUUAGCUGAUCUAGAAAAUGCAGGGCCUCCUGUUGCAUGCAAGGAAGAAAUUACUGGUUCUUUUCAGUGGCAUGGAAGCAGGGCUAUGCGUUGCCAUUGUUUUGGUCCGUAGAUGAGUCUUCCCAGAAACAACCACGGGAAAUCCGGUGAUAGCAACCAUUAUAGAAGGGAUUACAGUAAGAUUUUAGAUUAUAUGAUUUCAUGCCACAGAUCAUACAUGAAGAGGAAUGUAGUAACCUUGGCACAAGGAAAAGGCAUGACUUCAUGGUCUCUUAUCCUUUUUAGGUGAAAGUGCUCAUAUUUCUUUCUUGACUUCUACUCCUAGAAUUGAUUCUUUGUACUCAAUAGUACAUAGACAGUGACUUGUCGUGGAAAUUGAGGUAGCCCUCCUGUGUAUGAAUCAGGCCAUAAAAUGGUUUAAAUCUUUUGCUUAUCUAUUGCACGACUUGAUUUGAAAGCAUAA